UUGGGGAGUUCUGUUCACUUCUCCUGUUGCACAUGAGCUUCUCUUCCACGAACGUCACUCCUUCCCACCCCACAAGGGUUUCCACGAUGAGGGUCGACGGAGCAUGGAAUUUCUUGGCAAAACCACCGAUAAGCAGCCCCUGGGAGUCUCUACACACUUCGGCGACGGCACCGACCCUCGAUUCGCUACACCAAGACCCGUCGACAUUCAAUUUCAAGCAACCCACCGGCGGCGGCGUCCAGUAAUCGGGACAAGGAGAUGUUUGAGCGUUUAUGGGGCACUUGGCAUAUUGGGCAGAGCGGGUUAGGGGUCGUGUUCACCAAGAAGAAGGGAAAGAAGACUAUUACUUCUGGCGAAGAUUCGACAACUAAACAUUGCUGGAAUUAGCUCAAAUUUUAGUAUAUUGUUCGUGAGACCGAGACCUACAAGUUGAUUGAUUUCGUUCAUUGAAAACCUUCUUCAAAUUGUCUCUCAUUUUUCUCCGAUUGCGGUUGGGGUCUCUUGAUCCAUUUUUGUUAAUCUACCUUCGUGGUGAUGAAAUACUAUUGUAUUGUUGAUGCGGAGUCUCUAUUGUGUGACUAGAGAAGAACUUGUAUGUAUUAUACUAUUCUUGGUGAUUAGUUGAAGUUUUUGAGGGGUCUAUGACUUUUCUCAA